CAGUACGUCCUUGUGUUUUGAGAAUAUUGGUAAACUGUAUGGCUGUUAAGUUUCAAAUUUUGCCAUUUGUCGUGCUCCAGCCCAAAGCAUGCCAAGCAGGCUGGUCAUUUCAUUGUUUAACUGCCCCACACUCAAAGGACACUUUUUGCAUCUUCUGAGAACUUGGGGGGCCUUGGCCCCCUGGUUCCUAUGCCCCUGGUUGACAGCCAAUUUCAGAUGUGAAUAGUGUACUUAUUCACUACCGGUACAUCAGUGUGCUCUGAUUCUAGCCGUUGUUGUCUCUCAAACCAUGAUAACUCAAAGUUGAGCCUACCAAUGUCUUGUUUAUUUCAAGUGAAACAAAAUUUUGUGUAAUAGUGAUUUACUGUAUAUAUUAGUAUAAAUUUUUACAAAUUAUUCAACUAAGGUAAUAUAUUGUUCUAGUCUUAUUGUUCACCUAUUCAUUUAUAAUCUGUUUUAAUAAUUAUUUUAUAGCAUAUGUACAAAUUAUUGCAUAUUACUCUUUUGAAGCAGUGCUGUCAUUAAGUUUACAAGUAGGUGGCCGAAAAAUUAUUGAACAUUGAAGGCACAAGACUCCUAGAGGGGUCUGGGUUGGAAAUGCCAUUCCCUGCAUUUGGGAAGGUAUUUUAC